UACACGAUGACAAUAUCGUCAAGAUAAAC
rnacentral:sRNA from 1 species